UACGGAGGGUGCAAGCGUUAUCCGGAUUCACUGGGUUUAAAGGGUGCGUAGGUGGGCAGGUAAGUCAGUGGUGAAAUCUCCGAGCUUAACUCGGAAACUGCCGUUGAUACUAUUUGUCUUGAAUAUUGCGGAGGUAAGCGGAAUAUGUCAUGUAGCGGUGAAAUGCUUAGAUAUGACAUAGAACACCAAUUGCGAAGGCAGCUUACUACACAAUGAUUGACGCUGAGGCACGAAAGCGUGGGGAUCAAACAGG
rnacentral:rRNA from 1 species